UAUUUAUGCCCCCCUUCGAAAAAGAGGGGGUAUAUUGCUUUGCUCAUGUCGGUCGGUCGGUCGGUCCGUCCACCAGGUGGUUGUCAGACGAUAACUCAAGAACGCUUGGGCCUAGGAUCAUGAAACUUCAUAGGUACAUUGAUCAUGACUUGCAGAUGACCCCUAUUGAUUUUGAGGUCACUAGGUCAAAGGUCAAGGUCACAGUGACCCGAAAUAGUAAAAUGGUUUCCGGAUGAUAACUCAAGAACGCAUACGCCUAGGAUCAUGAAACUUCAUGGGUAGAUUGAUCAUGACUCGCAGAUGACCCCUAUUGAUUUUGAGGUCACUAGGUCAAA